GGGGUUGUGGCUCAGUGGUAGAGUACUUAACCUUGCACUUGUGAGGCACUGGGUUCGAUCCUCAGCACCACA
rnacentral:tRNA from 1 species